AGGCAACCGACUAGUGACCAACUGCAGACGGAAAAUCUAGAGAGAAGCCAGAAGAAGAGACCGAAGGGCGAAAGCAUUUACAAGAGUCGAUGAGAAAAAAUAGCUUGUAAAUCCACCAAGAAUUCAAGAGAAAGAAUUCAAGGAGCUAAAGAAAAUCUCACUUUAGACCCCUGAGGAAUCGAAUUAAGAAAA
rnacentral:sRNA from 10 species